GGAAGUACAGCUCAGUGGUAGAGCACAUACUUGGCACACAUGAGGUCCUGGGUUCAAUCCCCAGUACCUUCA
rnacentral:tRNA from 1 species